CCUGUGCCAGUGCUUCUCUACCCUUACUGUAAAAAGAAACAUCUUAGAUCCACAGUCUAAAUCUCCUUUCUUUUAGUUUGAACAAAGGAUGCAGAAGAACUGGAACAGUGAGACAAGGUAGCAGAAGAGUCUAGCAGGAACCAAAGGGAGCAGGACCCUAAAGAAAAAUGACAGAAUACAAAAGUUGAGGAUUUUUUUGAAGGAGAAAAGAAGAGAAAAAGAAAACAAGAUGAAAAUGAGUUACACUUCCUGGAGUGAAGAUGAGAGUUGAACCUCAGGAGAGCAUGGUUUACAACCACUAAAAGGGAAUGAGAAGAAAGCUGCAGCCUUCCAGGAAGCUGGUAGGAGCUCAGCUAUGCACGAUCCCUGGGGCUCUGCUCUGGUGUUAUCUAUUUGCUUGAGGCCAACAUCAUCUUCC
rnacentral:lncRNA from 1 species